UACGAAGGUGGCAAGCGUUGUUCGGAUUUACUGGGCGUACAGGGAGCGUAGGCGGUUGGAUAAGCCCUCCGUGAAAUCUCCAGGCUUAACCUGGAAAGUGCAGAGGGGACUGUUCAGCUAGAGGAUGGGAGAGGAGCGCGGAAUUCCCGGUGUAGCGGUGAAAUGCGUAGAUAUCUGGAGGAACACCGGUGGCGAAGGCGGCAUCUUGGACCGGCAUUGACGCUGAGGCGCGAAAGCCAGGGGAGCAAACGGG
rnacentral:rRNA from 1 species